GGCCGGCGUUUUCAGUGUAUUUGG
rnacentral:siRNA from 1 species